UCAGGCCUAACACAUGCAAGUCGAGCGGACAGAAGGGAGCUUGCUCCCGGAUGUUAGCGGCGGACGGGUGAGUAACACGUGGGUAACCUGCCUGUAAGACUGGGAUAACUCCGGGAAACCGGAGCUAAUACCGGAUAGUUCCUUGAACCGCAUGGUUCAAGGAUGAAAGACGGUUUCGGCUGUCACUUACAGAUGGACCCGCGGCGCAUUAGCUAGUUGGUGGGGUAAUGGCUCACCAAGGCGACGAUGCGUAGCCGACCUGAGAGGGUGAUCGGCCACACUGGGACUGAGACACGGCCCAGACUCCUACGGGAGGCAGCAGUAGGGAAUCUUCCGCUAUGGACGAAAGUCUGACGGAGCAACGCCGCGUGAGUGAUGAAGGUUUUCGGAUCGUAAAGCUCUGUUGUUAGGGAAGAACAAGUGCGAGAGUAACUGCUCGCACCUUGACGGUACCUAACCAGAAAGCCACGGCUAACUACGUGCCAGCAGCCGCGGUAAUACGUAGGUGGCAAGCGUUGUCCGGAAUUAUUGGGCGUAAAGGGCUCGCAGGCGGUUUCUUAAGUCUGAUGUGAAAGCCCCCGGCUCAACCGGGGAGGGUCAUUGGAAACUGGGAAACUUGAGUGCAGAAGAGGAGAGUGGAAUUCCACGUG
rnacentral:rRNA from 1 species